rnacentral:rRNA from 1 species
GACGAACCGUGCGAACGUUAUUCGGAAUCACUGGGCUUAAAGCGCGUGUAGGCGGAUCGCCGCGUCGGCUGCUGAAAUCCCCCGGCUCAACCGGGGAACGGGCACCGAUACGGGCGGUCUCGAGGGGGGUAGGGGGGUCUGGAACUUCCGGUGGAGCGGUGAAAUGCGUUGAGAUCGGAAGGAACGCCCGUGGCGAAAGCGAGGUCCUGGACGUUUUCUGACGCUGAGACGCGAAAGCCAGGGGAGCGAACGGG